rnacentral:rRNA from 1 species
UGCGUAGGUGGUCGGGUAAGUCUGAUGUGAAAUCUCCGAGCUUAACUCGGAAAUGGCAUUGGAUACUAUUCGGCUAGAGGGUUUGAGGGGGGACUGGAAUACUUGGUGUAGCAGUGAAAUGCGUAGAUAUCAAGUGGAACACCAGUGGCGAAGGCGAGUCCCUGGAAAACUCCUGACACUGAGGCACGAAAGCUAGGGGAGGCAAACA